rnacentral:rRNA from 1 species
AGCAGCCGCGGUAAUUCCAGCUCCAAUAGCGUAUAUUAAAGUUGUUGCAGUUAAAAGCUCGUAGUUGAAUUUUAGGCCUGGCCGGGCGGUCCGUCUUUGGCGAGUACUGUCCUGUGUCGGGUCAUCCUUCUGGUGAACCAGUAUGUCCUUUAUUGGGUGUGCCGGGGAGCCAGGACCAUUACCUUGAAAAAAUUAGAGUGUUUAAAGCGGGCAUUUGCUUGAAUAGAUUAGCAUGGAAUAAUAGAAUAGGACGUUGUGGUUCUAUUUUGUUGGUUUCUAGGACCACCGUAAUGAUUAAUAGGGAUAGUUGGGGGCAUUAGUAUUCAAUUGUCAGAGGUGAAAUUCUUGGAUUUAUUGAAGACUAACUAUUGCGAAAGCAUUUGCCAAGGAUGUUUUCAUUAAUCAAGAACGAAAGUUAGGGGAUCGAAGACGAUCAGAUACCGUCGUAGUCUUAACCAUAAACUAUGCCGACUAGGAAUCGGGCGACGUUAUUUUCAUGACUCGCUCGGCGCCUUAUGGG